UGGGCGCUGCUCUCGGCCCUGGCCGGGCUCGCUCCGGGCCGGGGCCCGCGGGGGCCGCGCAGCUCCCGCUGCUGGUCUGGAGCACGGAACGGUCCCUGUGGUCUCCCCCAUCCCUCCCCGGGGGCCGGGCUCUGUCGGAGCCGAGCUGCAGCAGCUGCUGGAGCCGGGGCUGCGCCGGGGCCCGCGCACGGUGCUGCUGUUCCUGCAGGACCAGCUGUCCGUGGAUGACCUGACCGCGUUCGGGCCGUGUUCGGGAACGAACCCAACGGAGCCUUCCCCAAACUGAGGGAUGCCCUGGGCUCGGCGGGCUCGGCCCUGGCCCUGCCCUGG